GAUUGAAAUAAAGGAAACAUAUAUAUUUUUUAACUGAUUGGCAACAGUACAUUUUUUAUAGUGGGAAAUCAUAUUUUAAUUAUUCUUUUGUUGAACAUGGAGGUCUAUUCAAGAUUGGACCACCUUGAGGACAAGUCCCCUUUGGCUGGUGGAUACCGCAAUCUACAUGCAUAAUAAAACAAAACAAACAUUAUUAUAAUUUUUUAAUAGAGCACCAUUUGGGAUUCUCCACAAUACAACGAUACCCGGUUUGGCUUGUUACAUAUUAAAAAUGUAGAAUAACCAUGAUUGUAUUAUGAUGUUUUGAAGGAACACUGCAAGCAUCAUAACCACUGCUGGUACUAUAGUAUUUAUAGUGCCUCGAGUUCCCUGGUGCCCCCUUAUGUAAAUAGUCCAACUGUUUGCUAAGGGUUUGAUUUCUAAUCUGUGCAAAGCCAUGCACCAGCCACCUCCUUUGUAAAAGCCGUAGGUUCUCUGUUCUCAACUAAACCUUAGCGGUGCAGGGAUUUGCUCAUUGAUUAAGAGGGGUCCACUGACAUGCUCAAUAAGUUGGCCAUGCCUGGCAAGAUUUAGCUCAGGAGAACUAAUGGAAGCUCCGUGGGGACACCAGGUAAGAAGUCAAACCAUUAGCAAAAGUACCAUUGUAGUGGUUAUGGGGCUUGUGGUAUACAUUUUAUAAACACAUUGCUUUGUUCUCUUUUUUUAUUAUAGUUAUUCUUUCUGUGAAAUAAAUUGUAGCUAUUAUGGCUUUGUACUGUACUGUCAAAUUUGUGUAUAUUGUUUGAGAUGAAUAUUUAUUUUGAAUUAUUUAAUUAUAUUUAAGUAAACAAGAUAUCUUUAAAAUUGAUGCAUAUCACACAUUUAAGAGAUAUAUUAAAAGAAAUGUCUGUGUGACAAAAAACAAACAAACAAAUUCUAAUUGUGAAAACAGAUAGUAAGUUUAGCAAUUUUAUAAUAAUCUAAAAGUAUGAUAAGCCUUCCCUACAAACACAUAAGCUAAAAUUGCAUUAAAUUAAUGUUUAACGCCACACAAGAUAAGUUUAUCAAGUGUAUCCACUGAUUCCUCUGUUAAAACAGUUUUAUGGUUUCAGUUCCUCAACCUGCAGCCACAGUCCAUUCUCUGCACGUAAGAUUAACUCCGGCUUCCUUCGUACUGCCUUCGUUUCAUCGAUGCUCACUUUGAAACGGAGUAGAGUAAGAGCCAGCACAACCUUCAUCUCUGACAUAGCAAAGUUCUGUCCAAUGCAGUUCCUAUGUGGGAUGAGUCAAAGUUUUAAGACCAACUCAUUUAUGUUACAGGAAAGAGUUUCUUAACAUGGAAUAUAUCUAUGUGGCUAGGAGAUGCACCUGUACUUGGAGUAUCCCUGGAAUCAGGGGAAUAUCUAGGAAUAAAUCUAUCCAGGGGAAAAAGCAAAGGC